AUACGGAGGGUGCAAGCGUUGUUCGGAAUCACUGGGCGUAAAGGGCGCGCAGGCGGUUUGGUAAGUCAGAUGUGAAAGCCCACGGCUCAACCGUGGAAGUGCAUUUGAAACUGUCAGACUUGAGUACUAGAGGGGAAAGUGGAAUUCCCGGUGUAGAGGUGAAAUUCGUAGAUAUCGGGAGGAAUACCGGUGGCGAAGGCGACUUUCUGGCUAGAUACUGACGCUGAGGCGCGAAAGCGUGGGGAGCAAACAGCAUUAGAAACCCCGGUAGUCC
rnacentral:rRNA from 1 species